rnacentral:rRNA from 1 species
UGUCUAUGGCAUCCCACCCUGAGAUGUCUGUUCUCAUCUGAUUUCAGAAGUUAGGCUGGGUAGGACCUGGUUAGCAUUCAGAUGGGAGGAAUCACACAUUCUUAGGCUU